GCCGCCGUAGCUCAGUGGUAGAGCACACCCUUGGUAAGGGUGGGGUCGUGAUUUCGAUUAUCACCGGCGGCA
rnacentral:tRNA from 1 species